rnacentral:rRNA from 1 species
CCUACGGGAGGCAGCAGUGGGGAAUAUUGGACAAUGGGCGAAAGCCUGAUCCAGCAAUGCCGCGUGAGUGAUGAAGGCCUUAGGGUUGUAAAGCUCUUUUACCAGGGAUGAUAAUGACAGUACCUGGAGAAUAAGCUCCGGCUAACUCCGUGCCAGCAGCCGCGGUAAUACGGAGGGAGCUAGCGUUGUUCGGAAUUACUGGGCGUAAAGCGUACGUAGGCGGUUAUUCAAGUCAGAGGUGAAAGCCCGGGGCUCAACCCCGGAACGGCCUUUGAAACUAGAUAGCUAGAAUCUUGGAGAGGUCAGUGGAAUUCCGAGUGUAGAGGUGAAAUUCGUAGAUAUUCGGAAGAACACCAGUGGCGAAGGCGACUGACUGGACAAGUAUUGACGCUGAGGUACGAAAGCGUGGGGAGCAAACAGGAUUAGAUACCCUGGUAGUCCACGCCGUAAACGAUGAUAACUAGCUGUCCGGGCACUUGGUGCUUGGGUGGCGCAGCUAACGCAUUAAGUUAUCCGCCUGGGGAGUACGGUCGCAAGNUUAAAACUUAAAUGAAUUGACGG